GGGACAAGACAUUACUGCAGAAGUCAGUGUCUCGUUUGCUCCAAGAACCUACGAAAACACUCUUCACAACUCUCAAUCUUUCAUUUUGUUGGGUCUGAUCCACAUUUUAUCAAAACUCGGAACCAGGGGUUGAUAUAAUAUUAUGUGGCCAUUCCAAAAAUACAUAAAUAACUGUUGUAACAACAAUUUCCGAGGAAGGAAUGAGCACUCCACAAACGCGGGCGUCGAUCGGACCCACGGCUCCAUGCCAUUGCCGCUCCUCUCUCCGGCAACGCGUGCCUCUCUCUCUCUCACAUCCACAUUUCUAAGCACGUUUGUUUCUUUAGUUUAUUUGGUUAAUUAUAGAAAUAAAAUUAGUAGCUAGUUGUCACAUGUUUUCUAGCUAACAUAACAGAUGGUUAUAAGUAAAUAACGAUAAAAUUGAUACAUGGUGUUAGUAGUUAGGUU